CACUUACUUGUGGGCAGAUGGAGAGUAAAUGUGACGGGGAAAAAACAAUAUUGACCUAAAAAGAAAAAAUCUACAUAGAGGGUCAUCUGUAGAGAUGCAAGAGAACACACCUUACCUUCUCCCUGUCCAUGCCUCCUGUGGAUCCCACAGAGCAUCCAUCACUGGCUUCCCUUUCCUCCGUCACUGUUAAAUCACCCAACUCAGAUGGCCACCCCAUGUUCAACCACAGGCUAUGCUUGCCAGACCAGUCACAGUUGGACAGAAUAGCCAUGGUAUCCAACUUAGUUUCCCAUGACUUCUGAGGAUUGAAACUUCGGUGAUCAUUCUGGAAGGAUCAUUUUCCUGAUAUUUGCAGGCCUCACAUUGCCUCUGCAAGUUACCUUGGUCAAGGAAUUAUGGAACCUUGACACGACAAUUGGUUUUAAACAUAUAGCCUGCAUAGCUUGCAAACAUCAUUGUAUAUUGGCAACUAUGUCUGUUUUGAUCCUGAUAAUUCCUAUUAAAUUUUGUUUUUCAUAAAA